CAGUCGACAUGGAUUGUGUUCUGAAUAACAAUUACAACGGGAUUUCAAUCCCUAAUUUGACUCAUUUUGGUGUCUUGACGAAGCUCCACAGCGACCUCGAUCGUCAAUUCCAUCGCUGGACACGCUUUAUGGUCGAAGCUUUGCUUGGGGAAUCCAUUGUUUCCCGCUUGCAUUGUGUUUGAUCGUGUUGUCGGAAGAUGUAUGAGGGUUUAGGAAUGAUUUCAGCAGGUUUUAGGGCGCUCAUGGUGUCGGAGGUAGAGCGGAAACUGUGGCAAUGGUGGACGCUCUUUCGCUGAGGCUGAUCGUUUCAGCAUCGUUGGCAAUGGACUCAGGGCUGGCGACGAACAAGUUCGGUUUUGUCGUACUUAGAGCUGUGCUGUUGCCGUUGCUUGUAAAGGCUGUAUUAUAGCGUCAUGGUGGCUUUGUCCGUGGCUGGUCAUCAGCUAUAGUGGGAGUCGUACUUGGCAACAGUUGAACACAUGAUGUGGAUGCUUUCUUAUGAGAGGUUCAAUUGAUACUGAGGUCAACACGUUACUUCUAGCAGAUAGAUGCUCUAACGGCAACUGGUUAUUCAGUUUGAGGCAAACUGUUAUGUAUUUGACUUGUAAUAACAUUCUUGAAAUUUUUGAAAAUUCAAACGGAGAGACACCUCUUUUGAGUAUGUACGCUUUGUAGAAUCUUGUAAAUGCAGAGCUAGUUCUUUUUUCUU